rnacentral:rRNA from 1 species
CGAGUAGAGUGGCGGACGGUGAGUAACGCGGUAGGAUCCUACCGUAGAGGCGGGGACACCGGGAAACCCGGGCUAAUACCGCAUACGUCCUACGGGAGAAAGAGGGCCUCUGCUUGCACGCUCUCACUCCAGGAUGAGCCCACGUCCGAUUAGCUAGUUGGUAGGGUAAAGGCCUACCAAGGCCACGAUCGGUAGCUGGUCUGAGAGGAUGAUCAGCCACACUGGGACUGAGACACGGCCCAGACUCCUACGGGAGGCAGCAGUGGGAAUAUUGCGCAAUGGGCGAAAGCCUGACGCAGCCAUGCCGCGUGUGUGAAGAAGGCCCUUGGGUUGUAAAGCACUUUCAAUUGGGAAGAAAGGUUGCGUGUUAAUAGCACGUAGCUGUGACGUUACCUUUAGAAGAAGCACCGGCUAACUCCGUG